ACAGCAGUAGCCGCGGUAAUACGUAGGGUGCAAGCGUUAAUCGGAAUUACUGGGCGUAAAGCGUGCGCAGGCGGUUUUGUAAGACAGAGGUGAAAUCCCCGGGCUCAACCUGGGAACUGCCUUUGUGACUGCAAGGCUAGAGUACGGCAGAGGGGGAUGGAAUUCCGCGUGUAGCAGUGAAAUGCGUAGAUAUGCGGAGGAACACCGAUGGCGAAGGCAAUCCCCUGGGCCUGUACUGACGCUCAUGCACGAAAGCGUGGGGAGCAAACAGGAUUAGAUACCCGCGUAGUCCCUGUCUCUUAUAA
rnacentral:rRNA from 1 species